CCUACGGGAGGCAGCAGUGAGGAAUAUUGGUCAAUGGGCGCGAGCCUGAACCAGCCAAGUAGCGUGAAGGAUGACUGCCCUACGGGUUGUAAACUUCUUUUAUAAAGGAAUAAAGUGAGGCACGUGUGCCUUUUUGUAUGUCCUUUAUGAAUAAGGAUCGGCUAACUCCGUGCCAGCAGCCGCGGUAAUACGGAGGAUCCGAGCGUUAUCCGGAUUUAUUGGGUUUAAAGGGAGCGUAGAUGGGUUGUUAAGUCAGUUGUGAAAGUUUGCGGCUCAACCGUAAAAGUGCAAUUGAUACUGGCAGCCUUGAGUACAGGUGAAGUAGGCGGAAUUCGUGGUGUAGCGGUGAAAUGCUUAGAUAUCACGAAGAACUCCGAUUGCGAAGGCAGCUUACGAAACUGCCACUGACAUUGAUGCUCGAAAGUGUGGGUAUCAAACAGGAUUAGAUACCCUUGUAGUC
rnacentral:rRNA from 1 species